UGAAAGGUUUUUGAGAAGCAAUCCUAGUGAAGAUUCAUCCUAUUUUUCUGGCUGAUCUUGAUUCCAUCUCUUCCAACAUUCAUUCAGGGUGAUAUUUUUAACUCGUUCAAAAGGAUCACUUUAAGCACCCUGAGUAUUCAACAGAAAAGGCAUAAGUCAACCACCAUUGCAUCCAGUAACUUAGAAUGGCAGGUAUAUGGGACUUCUUGCCAAGCCUCAACACAUAUACAAGGACCCAACAGUACAACUGAAGGAAUGAAGAUGCCCUUAUGAUAUGGAAACUUAUUCCAGCAACCUGAUACUGAGGCAGUUGUUUGAGAGUCUAGUCUCUGGCAUAAGGCAAGACAAAUCUGAACUAUUAUUCUGGGUCAGGUUUUGGACAGCCCCACCUAAACCCACCUCAGUGAAAAGUCUGAUGAGGUUGGCGAAGGAUU